rnacentral:lncRNA from 1 species
AUGGUCUGUUUUACUAUGUGGUGGAAGAGUCGCCUCUGGCGCGUUUCAACCUUUAAGAUAUGAAGUUAUGCUCUAAGAUAUCAACUACUUGCCCUAACUACCAAUAAGCGGUACUGAAAAAGCCACACAAUCUUUGGUUGAAUAGCUUAAACCAACGUUAAAAGAGGUUGAAUACAAUGAGUUGGUUGAUGUCGCACCAGUAAGUGCAGGAAGAAAUAUGAUCUGGGAAUAUGAUUGCUAAGAGAGAAUUA